rnacentral:rRNA from 1 species
UCUGGUUGAUCCUGCCAGUAGUCAUAUGCUUGUCUCAAAGAUUAAGCCAUGCAUGUCUAAGUAUAAACAACUCAGUACUUGUGAAACUGCGAAUGGCUCAUUAAAUCAGUUAUAGUUUAUUUGAUGUUACCUUUUUUACUACUUGGAUAACCGUAGUAACAUAGAGCUAAUACAUGCAAAUACUCUUGACCGCAAGGAAGAGAGGCACUUAUUAGAUUACAAACCAAUCCGUGUAAAAGCGGUAUAAGGUGAUUCAUAGUAAGGUUGGAAAUCGUAUGGGAGCAAUCCUGACGAUGUAUCAUUCAAAUUUCUGCCCUAUCAACUUUGGAUGGUAGUAUAGAGGACUACCAUGGUGAUAACGGGUAACGGAGAAUUAGGGUUCGAUUCCGGAGAGGGAGCCUGAGAAAUGGCUACCACUUCUAAGGAGGGCAGCAGGCGCGCAAAUUACCCAAUCCUAAUACGGGGAGGUAGUGACAAUAAAUAACAAUGCAGGGUCAAUCGAUCUUGUAAUUGGAAUGAGUACAAUUUAAACCCCUUAACGAGUAACAAUCAGAGGGCAAGUCUGGUGCCAGCAGCCGCGGUAAUUCCAGCUCUGAUAGCGUAUAUUAAAGUUGUUGCAGUUAAAAAGCUCGUAGUUGCAGUUUAGGAUUUCGUUUCUAUGGUCGGCUGUGAUAAACAGUUUUGUACUGUAGAGGCAAUCCUUUCCUACUGGUUACUCGACUCUGUCCUUUACUGGAUGGAGUAGUGUCGCAAGGCAUCGUUUUGUACGAUAUUGCUCUUCAUCGUAGUUUUUGGGUAAAACUGAAGGUGAAAGUGGAGGGAUCACAGUAUUGUAUAAAAUGGGGUUCCAGUUCAUUUACUUUGAGUAAAUUAGAGUGUUCAAAGCAGCCUCUUGGGGCAUUGAAUAUAUUAGCAUGGGAUAAUAGAAUAGGACUCUUGUUCAUUUAUUGGUUUAUGAAUUUAGAGUAAUGAUUAAUAGGGAUAGUUGGGGGCACUUGUAUUCAAUAGUCAGAGGUGAAAUUCUAGGAUUUAUUGAAGACAAACUUCAGCGAAAGCAUUU